rnacentral:lncRNA from 1 species
UUUUAGCUCUCUUUUUAAUAUUGCCUACUUUAGAUAAAUAGUAUAGUAUUUCGUAACUAGUUUUAUUUUAUCAUUAUUAGGAAAUAAAACAAAAGAAAAAAAAGAGAAGCAAAAAAUGGAGAUAGAGAUCAGAUCUUAGAGCUCCCCUUUAGGAGAACAACGGCGCACCCUUCCCUGUUUCUUUUUCAUUUUUCUUUCUCAAAAAAAACCACAACCAAAAGAUAAAGGAGAAAGCCCCAAACUCAUCCCGAUAGCACUCAUGAAAAUACCCCAAGCUCCAUUAAAACUGAUCCCAGAACCAGCUGAGAACCAGGCCUAAAAACAGUCCGUAAACCACAAAAAUUGUCACCUAAAACGGUCCAAAAAUGCAGCCAAACCAGCUCCAAAAGCAGCUGAAACGUCACCCAAAAACUAGCUGAAACGCAAUACCAAACCACCCAAAAAAUGGUAGUCGUCGCACCAUGUUUGCCGAUGAACAGAGGUUCAUUUUAACUGUGUAAGAACACUCAAGUUCAGUUGAUUUUUGAGUUGGGUUCAAGUUUUCCGGCGCCGGCGUGGGUCUUGAUCGGAUUGUUGUUUGUUUGCUGCUGUUUCGCUUAUCGAAUUUGCGGGUGUUCUUAGCCUUUAUUUGGUCUUGCUAAGUUUGAUUCUUACUGUUGAGGUAUGUAGCUUAGUUUACACAAUGUAAUUGUUAUAAUUGAUUAAUUGAAUAUCAUGAUAUUAUUCAGUUUGUUCACUUUGUGUCUGUAUGUGUGAGAUUAGUUUACUUAUGUACUUGAUGACUGUAAAUUACUACAACUUUGGUUUGGGAAACGUUAGAUUGUUAAGUUUCUAUAUAGAUGAUGAAAAAUGGAUACUGGUAUAGCAAGUUGAGUUUAACAUGGG